CAAAAGCGUAUAUUAAAGUUGUUGCAGUUAAAAAGCUCGUAGUUGAACCUUGGGCUUGGCUGGCCGGUCCAUCUUUUUUGAUGCGUACUGGACCCAGCCGAGCCUUUCCUUCUGGCUAGCCUUUUGGCGAACCAGGACUUUUACUUUGAAAAAAUUAGAGUGUUCAAAGCAGGCCUUUGCUCGAAUAUAUUAGCAUGGAAUAAUAGAAUAGGACGUUAUGGUUCUAUUUUGUUGGUUUCUAGGACCAUCGUAAUGAUUAAUGGGGACGGUCGGGGGUAUCAGUAUUCAGUUGUCAGAGGUGAAAUUCUUGGAUUUACUGAAGACUAACUACUGCGAAAGCAUUUACCAAGGACGUUUUCAUUAA
rnacentral:rRNA from 1 species